GGAGGUGGAGCUUGCAAUGAGCCAAGAUCGUGCCAUUUGCACUCCAGCCUGGCAACAAGAAUGAAACUCCAUCUCAAAAAAAAGAAAGAAAAGAAAAAGAAAGAAAAGAAAAAAAAAAUAGGCUGAAUUGCAAAUACAACAAAGACAAGUGGAAAUUUAUAGCCCAGAAACAGGGUAGGGAUCCAUGAGUGGAAAAUUAGCUAAAGGAAACAUUAGUGGUAAGAGAAGAGGAUUCUGGCUAAAUGGACCUAACAGGACUCUUGCUGCAGUCUGGACAAAAUCUGAACAGAAUUUACAGAAAAGUAGAAGAGAGAAUAAUUGAAGCAUCUCUUAUUGGGUCAGGUGCAGUGGCUCACUCCUGUACUCCCAGAACUUUAGGAGACUGAGGCGAGAGUAUCACUUGAACCCAGGAGUUCAAGACCAGCCUGGACAACAGAGCAACACCCCGUCUCUACAAAAAGUAAACAAUAAAUUAGCUAGGCUUGUUGUGCGCGUCUAUAACCCAGCUACUCAGGAAGCUGAGGCAGAAGGAGCACUUGAGCCCAGGAGCCUGAGGCUGCAGUAAGCUAUGAUGGAAUGACUGCACUACAGCCUGGGCAACAGAGUGAGACUUGUCUCCAAAAAAAUAAAAAUUUAAAAGAAAAUCUUAUCUCUGGAUUGCCUCCUGUACUC
rnacentral:lncRNA from 10 species